UCCGAACCGUAGCGGACACAGAAAAAGCAAGUGCGGUGACCAUAGCAACGGGGACAGCGUCGGGCGCGUGCGCGAUGGCGGCGAAGCGCGGUGGGCGUGCGCGGGGAACGCGAAACACGGAAGUGUCAGCGAUAGGGGCGGAGAGUCCGGAAGCGAAGAGGGGGCGGAGCAGAAAACAAAGUGACAGCUCAAAUGAGAGCGAAGUAGGCGGGUCUAGCUCGGAGGGGGCUGAGACAAGUGACAGUGAGGGAGAUCAGGAUACGAGAGGAGGCGUGUCCAAGGGCAGGGCUACGUCGGUGCGGGCAGUGGGGAGGCGUGGUCGGGACAGAAGUGACCACACCCCCGGGGUUCUGCAAGCGGAGACGGGGCGUGCCCAGGCAGGAGGCGUUUCCCUCGGCACAGACACAGCUGGUCUCGGCAGUGAGUCUCCGCUUCCGUGGCAACCAAGCAGACAGUUUCACAGGAAAGCAAUAAUUGAAAGUGUUUCACAGAAGUUGCAGGAACUGUGUGAAACUUUGAAGAGUUUCCCAGAUUCACCAGAAAAAAUAAGCAGCAAAAAGGUGAAACAAAAGGCACAGUCAAUCCUAACGGGGCGAACAGCUAGUGGCAAAACCUUAACAAUACAAGACUUUUUUCCAACUUCUUACAAAAAAUCCUCUUCCAAGAAAAGGUUGCAGGAAAGUCCGAAAGAGCAACAGGGUGAUACACUGUGUAUUACAGCGUCGGAGGGGAUUCCGGCGUGGGCAACAGGUGCUAGUGCAUCAGGCCAAGGACAAUCAAUUAUGACUCCAAAAGAAAUUAUCAAAGCUUUUUUGCAGCACAUAGGAGCAAGCUUGGAAUCUCAUCCAGAGAUGAGGGCAGAGAUUCCACAGAUUUUCCGGACAACUCAAGAGUCGCAGAUCGUUGUUCCACAGCCAAGACCAGAAACAACACAGAGAGUGCAGGUACCAGCAAUAUCGACACACAGGCACUCAUCUGGGACAGCAGAUGGAGAAGGGCUCUGCAGGAGCUGAGAACAAAAUAUCAAGGUGGGCCAAAUGCAGCUCUCACUUUGGCGCAGUUAGCAGGUGAUCCACCAGAGGACAACCCAGCUCAGCAAGCAGCGAGACUUCCACGUGAUGUAUUGAUAGACAUAAAAGAAGCUGCCCGUAAGGCAAUUCUACAGAUUGCACCAGCAGAGAGAGGGCCGAAGUGGGUGCCAGCAAGAAACGUGAAACCGUAUCGGGCUCAAACACAAGCAGAUACAGUCCCUGGACGUGGAGAGGAGAGCUCACGGACAGAACCAGAAGCAGAGAUCGUGAACUCCUCUUUGGACAACACAUAAAGAACUUAAGGACUGGAAAUUGAAAAUGUUCAUUCCAAUGGUUUUAUGUCUAAUGAUGCUGUCUAUUGCGUUAAGCAGUGGGGCGGAUUUACCAAUAAUGCAACCAAGGGAGAACGUUUGGGAGAAUUUAGCUCAUGCGGCGGGUUUAGACACCAUAUGUUUGACGCAUUCCAAGCCAAAGAAGCCAUUUACAACAUGCUUGGUGGGUUCAAUUUCUUCCAGUAGCUCCUUUUGAACCUCAAGAAUUAGAAAUUCUGGGGUCAACAAUGAUGGACUUUUGUAUAGAGUUUAACAUUUUGGGAAUAGCAGAUAAUAAGACGUUAGAUGUCACUCCGAUUCGCAAUGUAUAUAAAAAUGCUUCUUUUUGGUGUAAUUAUACUAGGGUAUCAAACAAACCAUCCUUUCGAGUUCCAGCACAAUUGCCAAGAGCAACAUUUUUCAUAUGUGGGGACAGAAUUUGGCCAGGUAUCCCUGCAAACAUAUAGGGAGGUCCAUGCAGCAUUGGGAGGCUUUCGCUUUUAACACCAGACUUGAAAAUUUUGAAAAAGUUAAAAAAAUAGAAAUAAGACAGCAAUUUAACAAUAUGAUCAGGAUUGUGAUGAUAAUGUCUACACAUGGAAUAAGGCACGGAGAAUCGCAGCAGCGAUUUUCUCACCCCAGAUAGCUUCGGGGGCGGCCUUGGCACAAUUGGAUCAUAUAGGUUGUUGGCUCAGCAAACAUUCUAAAGCAGUUUCACUUGCAAUGAGUGACUUGUUAACAGAUGUCGACAGUGUAAGGAGAGCCACUCUUCAAAACAGGGCAGCAAUCGAUUAUUUAUUGUUAACUCAUGGACAUGGAUGUGAAGAAUUUGAGGGAAUGUGCUGCAUGAAUCUAUCCAAUCGUUCCAAAUCAAUUCACAAAGAUAUAAAACAGUUACAGGAAGGUGUAACCAAACUUGGAGAAGUUACUGGACCGUUGUUGGAUGGUGUAUUUGAUUUUUUUAGCUUUUCGCCAGUGUGGAGGGAACUUUAAAGGAUAGGAUUGUAUAUAUUGGUAGGACUCGUAAUUCUGUUGUUUGUUUUGCCAUGCAUUAUUCAAUGCAUAUGGUGGGCUAUAGACAGGGCAACUAAAGGGGUUCUUGUAGUGCAAACAGAGGGGGGAGAUGUGGGAACCCAGGAUAUUCCCCUGGCUUCCCUGGAGCCAGUACAGGGGGCUCAGAAGCCUUG